AACUGUGAUGGAACUCUGCACCUCGUGGCAAGGUCCCCCUCGACGUCGUUCAAGCACGGAUGACGUGACGACGGCAAUGCUGCCCGCCACCCGU
rnacentral:ribozyme from 1 species